GGGCCCGCACAAGCGGUGGAGCAUGUGGUUCAAUUCGAAGCAACGCGAAGAACCUUACCAACCUUUGACAUGCCUCGUAUGGUCGCUGGAGACAGCUUCCUUCCCGCAAGGGGCGAGAGCACAGGUGCUGCAUGGCUGUCGUCAGCUCGUGUCGUGAGAUGUUGGGUUAAGUCCCGCAACGAGCGCAACCCUCGCCCUUAGUUGCCAUCAUUCAGUUGGGCACUCUAAGGGGACUGCCGGUGAUAAGCCGCGAGGAAGGUGGGGAUGACGUCAAGUCCUCAUGGCCCUUACAGGUUGGGCUACACACGUGCUACAAUGGCGGUGACAGUGGGAUGCAAUGGAGCAAUCCUGCGCAAAUCUCAAAAAGCCGUCUCAGUUCGGAUUGUGCUCUGCAACUCGAGCACAUGAAGUUGGAAUCGCUAGUAAUCGCAGAUCAGCACGCUGCGGUGAAUACGUUCCCGGGCCUU
rnacentral:rRNA from 1 species